GCUCAGGAUGAACGCUGGCGGCGUGCUUAACACAUGCAAGUCGAACGAUGAUCCCAGCUUGCUGGGGGAUUAGUGGCGAACGGGUGAGUAACACGUGAGUAACCUGCCCUUAACUCUGGGAUAAGCCUGGGAAACUGGGUCUAAUACCGGAUAUGACUCCUCAUCGCAUGGUGGGGGGUGGAAAGCUUUAUUGUGGUUUUGGAUGGACUCGCGGCCUAUCAGCUUGUUGGUGAGGUAAUGGCUCACCAAGGCGACGACGGGUAGCCGGCCUGAGAGGGUGACCGGCCACACUGGGACUGAGACACGGCCCAGACUCCUACGGGAGGCAGCAGUGGGGAAUAUUGCACAAUGGGCGAAAGCCUGAUGCAGCGACGCCGCGUGAGGGAUGACGGCCUUCGGGUUGUAAACCUCUUUCAGUAGGGAAGAAGCGAAAGUGACGGUACCUGCAGAAGAAGCGCCGGCUAACUA
rnacentral:rRNA from 1 species